GACGAGGCACUACGGUGCUGAAGCAACAAAUGCCCUGCUUCCAGGAAAAGCCUCUAAGCAUCAGGUAACAUCAAAUCGUACCCCAAACCGACACAGGUGGUCAGGUAGAGAAUACCAAGGCGCUUGAGAGAACUCGGGUGAAGGAACUAGGCAAAAUGGUGCCGUAACUUCGGGAGAAGGCACGCUGACACGUAGGUGAAGUGAUUUACUCAUGGAGCUGAAGUCAGUCGAAGAUACCAGCUGGCUGCAACUGUUUAUUAAAAACACAGCACUGUGCAAACACGAAAGUGGACGUAUACGGUGUGACGCCUGCCCGGUGCCGGAAGGUUAAUUGAUGGGGUCAGCGCAAGCGAAGCUCCUGAUCGAAGCCCCGGUAAACGGCGGCCGUAACUAUAACGGUCCUAAGGUAGCGAAAUUCCUUGUCGGGUAAGUUCCGACCUGCACGAAUGGCGUAAUGAUGGCCAGGCUGUCUCCACCCGAGACUCAGUGAAAUUGAACUCGCUGUGAAGAUGCAGUGUACCCGCGGCAAGACGGAAAGACCCCGUGAACCUUUACUAUAGCUUGACACUGAACAUUGAGCCUUGAUGUGUAGGAUAGGUGGGAGGCUUUGAAGUGUGGACGCCAGUCUGCAUGGAGCCGACCUUGAAAUACCACCCUUUAAUGUUUGAUGUUCUAACGUGGACCCGUGAUCCGGGUUGCGGACAGUGUCUGGUGGGUAGUUUGACUGGGGCGGUCUCCUCCUAAAGAGUAACGGAGGAGCACGAAGGUUGGCUAAUCCUGGUCGGACAUCAGGAGGUUAGUGCAAUGGCAUAAGCCAGCUUGACUGCGAGCGUGACGGCGCGAGCAGGUGCGAAAGCAGGUCAUAGUGAUCCGGUGGUUCUGAAUGGAAGGGCCAUCGCUCAACGGAUAAAAGGUACUCCGGGGAUAACAGGCUGAUACCGCCCAAGAGUUCAUAUCGACGGCGGUGUUUGGCACCUCGAUGUCGGCUCAUCACAUCCUGGGGCUGAAGUAGGUCCCAAGGGUAUGGCUGUUCGCCAUUUAAAGUGGUACGCGAGCUGGGUUUAGAACGUCGUGAGACAGUUCGGUCCCUAUCUGCCGUGGGCGCUGGAGAACUGAGGGGGGCUGCUCCUAGUACGAGAGGACCGGAGUGGACGCAUCACUGGUGUUCGGGUUGUCAUGCCAAUGGCACUGCCCGGUAGCUAAAUGCGGAAGAGAUAAGUGCUGAAAGCAUCUAAGCACGAAACUUGCCCCGAGAUGAGUUCUCCCUGAGACUUUAAGUCUCCUGAAGGAACGUUGAAGACGACGACGUUGAUAGGCCGGGUGUGUAAGCGCAGCGAUGCGUUGAGCUAACCGGUACUAAUGAACCGUGAGGCUUAACCUUACA
rnacentral:rRNA from 1 species